GCCGGUUUAGCUCAGCUGGUAGAGCAGCGGUUUUGUAAACCGAAGGUCGUGGGUUCGAUCCCUGCAACCGGCACCA
rnacentral:tRNA from 1 species